AGAACACAGAGAAAUGGGAAUUUCUAGGUAUUUGACUUCCGUUUUAUAUAAAAUCCACCUCUUUAUGUUGCCAUUGUCAUAGUCGGCAUUUUAGAUGUCCUUUGGACGACUUCUUGCUAAUAUUUUGCAAAGGAAUUGACUUGGCACUAAAUUGAAGAAAAUUUAGACAGUGUAAUUAGGGUGUUUUUGUUUCCUGAAAAUAAAAAAUAAAAUAACAGAACGAAAUUCUGGAACUCUAGCUCGCAAUUCUUGCCCUGUCUCUUGGCUUUCUCAAACCAAGAAGUACCCCUUCUUGCUCUAAAAAAAAAAUAAAAAGCUAAGGUCUGUUGGCUUUGUUAAGUUUAGAAUUUUAACAAUGUUCAAUAAUCUAAAAGAAUCCUUGACUAAUGACAUCUCCUUGUGUGCAGAUUUGGUAAGCAAUGAUGUUAGUAAAAGGAAAACAGAUCCUAUUCAACGGCUAUGUAUUUUGAACUUUGUUUUACAUGGAAAAUGAAUCAAUCAAUCAAAGAACAAAGAAGGAAAGUCACUUAGUCAGCCUUGUCAAAGAUUCCCAAGCGUGCAAGAAUGGGAAAAGAUCCAAUCAAGGAUAGAGAUCAAAUCCAGAAAAAUCUCCAGAAGCUCAAAUCAAGGAGGAAUGGAGGAAGCAAUUCGUCAAGAUUGAGAAUGAAUCUAGCAACCAUUUUAAGCUAGAUUCAUGAGGCUACCCUUGGGUCUUUCUCUUAGAUGUAUAUGCCUCACAAGAAAAUGACUCCUAAAAUUGCUGCCAUACAAUCCCAGAAGACAAGGAGACAGGAGACUCAUCAAGCUAUAAAGGAAGAAGCAGAAGAACAUCCACAAACACGCAACUACAUCAUAUGUUUCUAAACCUUUCUAAUUCUUAGUACAAAUAUUGUAUUCUUGAGUCUACAAGUGUCACAAAAGAUAUGAAGAGUUAGAACACAAAACGAGAGUUGUGUCAACAUUGAAAAGAAUCACUGUUGCUGUAUAUCGUUGGUAGUGAACGUACUAAAACCAUCAUUGCUGUAAACUUUCAUCAAAGAUCUAAGAGAACCCUUGUGACCCAAGGGAACUGGACGUAGGUACCAUGCCGGUACUGAACUAGUAUAAAAACUGUUGUGUCUU
rnacentral:lncRNA from 1 species